GAUAACUAUUUCAUCCAAAUCUGAUAACUAGGAUAGCAGUUAUUUAAUAUAAAAACAAUCACAAUGUCAUGGCAACUAAUGAUCUGUGAUUAGGUAAUUAUAGGGGGGGAGGAAUGGGACUGGGAGAGAGGGGUGGAGGGAGAGGAGGAGAGAUGGAGAGAGGAGGAUGAAGAGGUAGAGUGAGAGAGGUAGAGAGAGAGGGGUGGAGGGAGGAGGAUGAAGAGGUAGAGAGAGAGGUAGAGGGGAAGAGAGGUAGAGAAAAAGAGAGAGAGGUAGAGAAAGAGAGAGAGGUAGAGGGGAAGAGAGGUAGAGAAAAAGAGAGAGUUAGAGAGAGAGAGGUAGAGGUAGAGAGAGAGAGGAAGAGUGAGAGAGAGGUAGAGAGAGAGAGGUAGAG